rnacentral:rRNA from 1 species
AAUGAACGCUGGCGGCAGGCCUAACACAUGCAAGUCGAACGGGUAUCUUCGGGUACUAGUGGCGGACGGGUGAGUAACGCGUGGGAACGUGCCCUUUGGUUCGGAAUAGCCUCGGGAAACUGGGAGUAAUACCGGAUGUGCCCUUCGGGGGAAAGACUUAUCGCCAAAGGAUCGGCCCGCGUUGGAUUAGGUAGUUGGUGGGGUAAUGGCCUACCAAGCCGACGAUCCAUAGCUGGUUUGAGAGGAUGAUCAGCCACACUGGGACUGAGACACGGCCCAGACUCCUACGGGAGGCAGCAGUGGGGAAUCUUAGACAAUGGGGGAAACCCUGAUCUAGCCAUGCCGCGUGAUCGAUGAAGGCCUUAGGGUUGUAAAGAUCUUUCAGAUGGGAAGAUAAUGACUGUACCAUCG